GGGCUUUGUUCCUAGGUUGUAAGCACACAAAUUACAAUCAAUUUGAGAGAAAUUUUUGAAAGUUUAGACUUUUCUUCAACUAGCUUUUUUGGUAAUUCUAGCUCCUUCAAGUUAUUCAAGAAGUAGGACUCUUUAUAAGUCUUAUUGAGCCAAGGAACGGGGCUCAAAUUAUUGGUAGGUCCAUGGCAUUCUUCCUUUCCUUGUUUUA
rnacentral:lncRNA from 1 species